AGAGUUUGAUCCUGGCUCAGGAUGAACGCCGGCGGUGUGCCUAAUACAUGCAAGUCGAACGCGUUGGCCCAAUUGAUUGAUGGUGCUUGCACCUGAUUGAUUUUGGUCGCCAACGAGUGGCGGACGGGUGAGUAACACGUAGGUAACCUGCCCAGAAGCGGGGGACAACAUUUGGAAACAGAUGCUAAUACCGCAUAACAACGUUGUUCGCAUGAGCAACGCUUAAAAGAUGGCUUCUCGCUAUCACUUCUGGAUGGACCUGCGGUGCAUUAGCUUGUUGGUGGGGUAACGGCCUACCAAGGCGAUGAUGCAUAGCCGAGUUGAGAGACUGAUCGGCCACAAUGGGACUGAGACACGGCCCAUACUCCUACGGGAGGCAGCAGUAGGGAAUCUUCCACAAUGGGCGCAAGCCUGAUGGAGCAACACCGCGUGAGUGAAGAAGGGUUUCGGCUCGUAAAGCUCUGUUGUUAAAGAAGAACACGUAUGAGAGUAACUGUUCAUACGUUGACGGUAUUUAACCAGAAAGUCACGGCUAACUACGUGCCAGCAGCCGCGGUAAUACGUAGGUGGCAAGCGUUAUCCGGAUUUAUUGGGCGUAAAGAGAGUGCAGGCGGUUUUCUAAGUCUGAUGUGAAAGCCUUCGGCUUAACCGGAGAAGUGCAUCGGAAACUGGAUAACUUGAGUGCAGAAGAGGGUAGUGGAACUCCAUGUGUAGCGGUGGAAUGCGUAGAUAUAUGGAAGAACACCAGUGGCGAAGGCGGCUACCUGGUCUGCAACUGACGCUGAGACUCGAAAGCAUGCGUAGCGAACAGGAUUAGAUACCCUGGUAGUCCAUGCCGUAAACGAUGAGUGCUACGUGUUGGAAGGGUUUCCGCCCCUUCAGUGCUCGGAGCUACCGCAUUA
rnacentral:rRNA from 1 species